rnacentral:tRNA from 8 species
GCCGCUAUGGUGAAAUCGGUAGACACGCUGCU